UACGGAGGGUGCAAGCGUUAUCCGGAUUCACUGGGUUUAAAGGGUGCGUAGGUGGGCAGUUAAGUCAGUGGUGAAAUCUUCGGGCUUAACCCGGAAACUGCCAUUGAUACUAUUUAUCUUGAAUACUUUGGAGGUAAGCGGAAUAUGUCAUGUAGCGGUGAAAUGCUUAGAUAUGACAUAGAACACCAAUUGCGAAGGCAGCUUACUACACAGUUAUUGACACUGAGGCACGAAAGCGUGGGGAUCAAACAGG
rnacentral:rRNA from 1 species